UGCUAGGGAAAAAAAAAAAAAAACCGCGGGCGGGAAUUACAUAAAAAACAAAAAGAGAGCGAGAGAAAAAAAAAGGAGCCGGAAUCUCAAUUGAGGCGCCGCCGCCGAUUGUGUUGUGUUAGGUUAGGGAUGAAUCGGGAAUUUGGGGGAGGGAGGCCGCCAACGGGCACUCCAUCUCUGGCUUGGUCCUCCGUCGUCGUUGUGGCUUCUCUUCUCGCAGGGGCCUCCGUCGUCCACAAUCUCUACAAGCCUAAUCUAGUGUUCGACGAAAUGAUUCACUCACCUCGCUGUGCGUUUUGUACAGACGCUGCCUCCUGUGGACGAAAUGUUUGAGACGAAACCAAUGAUAUAUGCCUUUAAUAUAUGUUCUUAAUUUCAUACUCACCGUUAUUUUAUCCUCUAUUCUUGAUGUAACAAGUAACAACCCGUCUCAAAAUUUCACGGUUUUUAUAAUUCGAAGUAUGAAUUUACGAAAAUGUCAUAUGAGGCGAAAUCAUAGACUUUUGUUGACAUGUUAAUAUUAGUUGAUGUAUUUUGGAGAAUUGUGAUAUUAUUUGUAUUCUGAACAUUAUUUUACACUUGAAACUACUUAUACGUUGGGUUAAUGAAUGAGCAUCCAGUUAAA